GACGUAGGGCGCGAGCGUUGUCCGGAUUUAUUGGGCGUAAAGAGCUCGUAGGCGGGCUUGUCGCGUCGACUGUGAAAUCCCGCCGGCUCAACCGCGGGCUUGCAGUCGAUACGGGCAGGCUUGAGUUCGGUAGGGGAGACUGGAAUUCCUGGUGUGCGGUGAAAUGCGCAGAUAUCAGGAGGAACACCGGUGGCGAAGGCGGGUCUCUGGGGCCGAUACUGACGUGAG
rnacentral:rRNA from 1 species